rnacentral:rRNA from 1 species
CCUACGGGUGGCAGCAGUGGGGAAUAUUGCACAAUGGGGGAAACCCUGAUGCAGCGACGCCGCGUGAAGGAAGAAGUAUUUCGGUAUGUAAACUUCUAUCAGCAGGGAAGAAAAUGACGGUACCUGACUAAGAAGCCCCGGCUAACUACGUGCCAGCAGCCGCGGUAAUACGUAGGGGGCAAGCGUUAUCCGGAUUUACUGGGUGUAAAGGGAGCGUAGGCGGUUUAGCAAGUCAGAAGUGAAAGGCCGGGGCUUAACUCCGGGACUGCUUUUGAAACUGUUGAACUAGAGUGCAGGAGAGGUAAGUGGAAGUCCUAGUGUAGCGGUGAAAUGCGUAGAUAUUAGGAGGAACACCAGUGGCGAAGGCGGCUUACUGGACUGUAAAUGACGCUGAGGCUCGAAAGCGUGGGGAGCAAACAGGAUUAGAUACCCCUGUAGUC